rnacentral:rRNA from 1 species
AUUGAACGCUGGCGGCAGGCCUAACACAUGCAAGUCGAGCGGAUGAGUGGAGCUUGCUCCAUGAUUCAGCGGCGGACGGGUGAGUAAUGCCUAGGAAUCUGCCUGGUAGUGGGGGACAACGUUUCGAAAGGAACGCUAAUACCGCAUACAUCCUACGGGAGAAAGUGGGGGAUCUUCGGACCUCACGCUAUCAGAUGAGCCUAGGUCGGAUUAGCUAGUUGGUGAGGUAAAGGCUAACCAAGGCGACGAUCCGUAACUGGUCUGAGAGGAUGAUCAGUAACACUGGAACUGAGACACGGUCCAGACUCCUACGGGAGGCAGCAGUGGGGAAUAUUGGACAAGGGGCGAAGGCCUGAUCCAGCCAUGCCGCGUGUGUGAAGAAGGUCUUCGGAUUGUAAAGCACUUGAAGUUGGGAGGAAGGGCAGUAAGUUAAUACCUUGCUGUUUUGACGUUACCAACAGAAUAAGCACCGGCUAACUUCGUGCCAGCCGCCGCAGUAACAC